ensembl:lncRNA
AGACAAAGACCUGUCAGUCGUGCAAACAGGUCCAUUUAUAACUAGUCAUAAUGCCAGAGAGUGAAAGACCUUAUUUCACCUGGAUACGUCAAACAAUAGCUUGCACCUUGCUGGUUUACCACAUCAUGUUUUUUCUUCAGGCGAUCACUGGAUUGGUGCACAUUGAUGAUUGUCGAAUUGACCCCUUCAUCCCCGUCUAUCUGUCUGGUUAUGGAUUCAUAGCCGUGUUCUGGUUGUGGUCUAAGAGGUGGUGUGGUAUCAUCCUUUGGUCUGCAUCCAUCGCCAUUGUCUUUAUGUGGUUCAUCAUGGGUACCAUUCGCAUCUACUCCGUUUAUCAACCUGACUACAACAAGAACACUAAAGACCCCGAUCAUUACUGCGACAAGACGCUCUACCUGUUUGCAUUUUGGACCACCAACCUGGCCUUCGUCCUGUUAGCUGUUCUUUUUUGCUCGUAUUCUUUAGCUGUUUAUUUUCUGAUAGAAAGUGAUGAUAAUGAGACUCAAACGCUGCUUGGGGAUAACCAAAAUAAUGCAAUGUUUAUAGUUUACUUUUUUCAAAGGCAAAUCUCAUUGAGACAUGAGGUCUCAAUUUCAAGAGCAACCUAAACAUGACUGAAUCGAAAUCAUAAUUCAAUUACUAUAUACAGCCAAUUCACAACAAUAGUAAAAACAGCUUAAAGUGCUCUGUAUCAUAAAGACCCCACAAUACUAAAAAGAAACCCCAACAAGACACGACCCCCUAUGAUCAAAAACUUGGCGAGAGUGGGAAGGAAAAACUCCCUUUUUAACUUAAUCUCGGGAAUCCCACAAGCAUCCUUGGCUUAUUGCAGCAUAACUAAGGGAAGAUAAGGGUCACCUGAUCCAACUAUAAGAUUAAUCAGAAAAGAUAAGCAUACAAUUGAUCAAUAUUAUUGAUUAAUCAUUAUUGUUAUCUGUGUUUUAUGUACAUUUGGAGCUUAUCGCCCAGUAUUUUAUCUUGGUUAAUACGGCAACGUGAAACUUUUGCAGUUACCAUGUAAAAUUACAAUUAAUGAUUUAUGUCUCAUCUUUUUAUUUAACCCUCUUUCCUUUUAAAAGUGUAUAUGAUGAAAUUUUUAUGUAUGAAAUUCAUGUGUUAGUUGUGUUUUAUUUACUUGUAAAUAAAAGAAAAUAAGAAUAACUGUC